CCGCUGGUUCUUAAAUAAUAUUUCUUCUCCACAUGCAACUCAUCAAUCCAACCCGGCCCGGCCUUGACUCCUCUCUCUCUCUCUCUCUCUCUCUCUCUCUCUCUCAAAUAUACUAUAUAAUAAGUCGUCUUCACAGGUCCAAUCAUGUGAAGUUGUCAACAACGCCUAGCCAAACCUUCGUUGAUUCGGCUAUCCAAUAAUAUAGCCACAGAUCUUCUUGCAAUUGUCGGCCACUAGCUUCCAAUCGCUUCAGCUCUGCUGUUAAUUCAUCAUCCUACGCUACUUUUGCAGGAUCAAUACUGCAUGCUGGAAAAGUCGAUAUUUUACAAACAAUCAAAACCCACAAAUUAAAAGGUUGCUCGAUCCGGACAGAUAGAUAUAUAUAGUACGACAACAUGAGCAAAAGAGCCAACGGUCGAACGCUGGAAUUGAGGCUGAACUUGUCGCCGCCAAGGCGGGAACACUCGCCUGCUGAGUCUAUAGAUGUUUCGACCUCUUCUUCGUCGGAAAUAUCAGUUGAAGGCUCAUGCGUUUCAUCAGAGCCUGAAGAUAAGCCUAUGACGUUGCAGUACUCCCCAAGCAACUCGGAAGCCAGAUCGAUGAUGCUCGUAGGAUGUCCCAGAUGCCUCAUGUACGUCAUGUUAUCCGAGCUGGCUGAUCCAAAAUGCCCCAAAUGCAAGAGUACUGUCCUGCUGGAUUUCCUCAAGGAAGAAAAUGCCAGGAAUACAAGAAACUGAGCUAGCUAGAGCAUGCAUAUGCAUGGCUUCCUUUUCCUGUUCCUCAUCAGCAUCAAUUCCAACUGCGUGCGCGCUUUUCUUUUCUUUUCUUUCUUUCUUUUUUUUUCUUUCUCGAUGCUGUCUUAAUUUGGCUUGACCUUAUUUUUUUUUCAAUGCAGCUUUUAUUUUCUUUCUUC